rnacentral:rRNA from 1 species
CUGAUGCAGCGACGCCGCGUGAGGGAUGACGGCCUUCGGGUUGUAAACCUCUUUCAGCAGGGAAGAAGCGAAAGUGACGGUACCUGCAGAAGAAGCACCGGCUAACUACGUGCCAGCAGCCGCGGUAAUACGUAGGGUGCGAGCGUUAUCCGGAAUUAUUGGGCGUAAAGAGCUCGUAGGCGGUUUGUCACGUCUGUCGUGAAAGUCCGGGGCUUAACCCCGGAUCUGCGGUGGGUACGGGCAGACUAGAGUGCAGUAGGGGAGACUGGAAUUCCUGGUGUAGCGGUGGAAUGCGCAGAUAUCAGGAGGAACACCGAUGGCGAAGGCAGGUCUCUGGGCUGUAACUGACGCUGAGGAGCGAAAGCAUGGGGAGCGAACAGGAUUAGAUACCCUGGUAGUCCAUGCCGUAAACGUUGGGCACUAGGUGUGGGGACCAUUCCACGGUUUCCGCGCCGCAGCUAACGCAUUAAGUGCCCCGCCUGG